rnacentral:rRNA from 1 species
AACGAACGCUGGCGGCAUGCCUAACACAUGCAAGUCGAACGAGACCUUCGGGUCUAGUGGCGCACGGGUGCGUCACGCGUGGGAACCUGCCCUUAGGUUCGGCAUAACUCCCCGAAAGGGGUGCUAAUACCGGAUCAUGUCUUCGGCCCAAAGAUUUAUCGCCGUUGGAUGGGCCCGCGUUGGAUUAGCUGGUUCGUAGGGUAAAAGCCUACCAAGGCGACGAUCCAUAGCUGGUCUGAGAGACUGAUCAGCCACACUGGGAGUGGGACACGGCCCAGACUCCUACGGGAUGCAGCAGAGGCGGAUAGUGGACAGUCGGCGGAAUCCUGAACGAGCAAUGCCGCGAGAGUGAUGAAAGCCGGAGGGAUGUAAAGCGCUUUUACCCGGGAUGAUAAUGACAGUACCGGGAGAAUAAGCUCCGGCUAACUCCGUG